rnacentral:rRNA from 1 species
ACGUAGGUCACAAGCGUUGUCCGGAAUUACUGGGUGUAAAGGGAGCGCAGGCGGGAGAACAAGUUGGGAGUGAAAUCCAUGGGCUCAACCCAUGAACUGCUUUCAAAACUGUUUUUCUUGAGUAGUGCAGAGGUAGGCGGAAUUCCCGGUGUAGCGGUGGAAUGCGUAGAUAUCGGGAGGAACACCAGUGGCGAAGGCGGCCUACUGGGCACCAACUGACGCUGAGGCUCGAAAGUGUGGGUAGCAAACAG